UACGUAGGGUGCAAGCGUUGUCCGGAAUUAUUGGGCGUAAAGAGCUCGUAGGCGGUUUGUCGCGUCGACUGUGAAAACUGGGGGCUUAACUCUCAGCUUGCAGUUGAUACGGGCAGACUUGAGUUCGGUAGGGGAGACUGGAAUUCCUGGUGUAGCGGUGAAAUGCGCAGAUAUCUGGAGGAAUACCGGUGGCGAAGGCGGGUCUCUGGGCCGAUACUGACGCUGAGGAGCGAAAGCGUGGGGAGCGAACAGG
rnacentral:rRNA from 1 species